UACGUAGGGGGCAAGCGUUGUCCGGAUUUAUUGGGCGUAAAGAGCGUGUAGGCGGCCAGGGAGGUCCGUUGUGAAAACUCGAGGCUCAACCUCGAGACGCCGAUGGAAACCCCCUGGCUAGCAGUCCGGAAGAGGAGAAUGGAAUUCCUGGUGUAGCGGUGAAAUGCGCAGAUAUCAGGAAGAACACCCGUGGCUAAGGCGGGUCUCUGGGCCGUAACUGACGCUGAGGAGCGAAAGCGUGGGGAGCGAACAGG
rnacentral:rRNA from 1 species